GAGCGCCGGCUGCCCUGACGUCAGCAUGGCCGCGGCCCCUGACUACCCAGCUCCCUUCUAUCCCUCGAGCGGCAGGAAUCCGUCCCCACGCCCUUUUCCUUUAAAGGGCAACGGGCCGAAGGUGGGGCGGGCGGCGCGGCUCCCGCGAUCCAUUCAGGUCAAAAGGGAGAGUGAUCAAACAGGAGAGCCGAGGGGACCUAUAUUCAGAGACUUAACCGGACACCUGGACAGACCAUUACAACUUGGGACUUUUCAGGAGAAUGAGGGAAAUGUAGUUAUUGCACCUGAGCCUCACUCCAGCUCUGAGGUCCUCUUCACUUCUCUUUGGAAGAAAAUUGGAUAUCUUUUCCUAGUUGAAAGAGUAGAGAUCUGAUUUCUCCAAGGAUCAUCGCUUUUUGACACGGGAUUAUUAGAAGCAUUCAUUCAUCUAUCAAGGAGUUUUGGGAUACUUGCCAUAAGCCAAGCCCUCUGAUAGGUGCUGGAAACAUCAAGCUCUGUGCCCAGGAAGUUCAUCCUUGGACUGCACGCAUGAACGAGUUUGCUGUCUUCCCAUUGGAUUCAGCCAGUCCGCGGUCCUGGCUGCCUGAGCAAUUGUGUCUGGUUCGUGAAGUGACUUCCCAUUUUCAUCCAAUUGGCCCUGAUCUCACAUCCCAAGCCCAUGGAUCAUACCACAUUGUUCUUUCUGCAAAACAGUUGAGAAUUACCAGUAAUUGGGACUGUUUACAUUCAAUGCCAUCAUGACAGAAGCAGCUUUAUUAUAUUGCAGAGGAAUGAUUAAUACAUGAUGGGGAUUAAAGAUUGCACUGCAGCAGGCCAAGGCAAGAGGCAAUAAAGAUUAAUAAUUUUAGAUUUCCACUGUAGCAAGAACGGGAAAAAAGCGUCAUCUGAAAUGCCAACUUCAAGCAAUUGCAGUGAUUUCCUGGAACCCUACGUGACAAGUCCAGAUUCAGUGGGAAAGACUGUGAGGAUCCGUUAGCAAUGUUUACGAUGGGCAAG
rnacentral:lncRNA from 10 species